rnacentral:rRNA from 1 species
UACAGAGGUCUCAAGCGUUGUUCGGAUUCAUUGGGCGUAAAGGGUGUGUAGGUGGCGCCGUAAGUCGGGUGUGAAAUUUUGAGAGCUUAACUCCGAAACUGCAUUCGAUACUGCGGUGCUUGAGGACUGGAGAGGAGACUGGAAUUUACGGUGUAGCAGUGAAAUGCGUAGAUAUCGUAAGGAAGACCAGUGGCGAAGGCGGGUCUCUGGACAGUUCCUGACACUGAGACACGAAGGCCAGGGGAGCAAACGGGG